rnacentral:tRNA from 1 species
GUCUGGGUGGCUCAGUUGGUAGGGCAUCUGACUUCAGCUCAGGUCACAAUCCCGCAAUCGGUGGGUUCGAGCCCUGCGUCGGGCU